UAAGGAAUAUUGGACAAUGGGCGCAAGCCUGAUCCAGCCAUGCCGCGUGUGUGAAGAAGGCCUUCGGGUUGUAAAGCACUUUUGUUGGGGAAGAAAAGCGAUCGGUUAAUACCCGGUUGUUCUGACGGUACCCAAAGAAUAAGCACCGGCUAACUUCGUGCCAGCAACCGCGGUAAUACGAAGGGUGCAAGCGUUACUCGGAAUUACUGGGCGUAAAGCGUGCGUAGGUGGUUCGUUAAGUCUGUCGUGAAAGCCCCGGGCUCAACCUGGGAAUGGCGAUGGAUACUGGCGGGCUAGAGUGCGGUAGAGGAGAGUGGAAUUCCCGGUGUAGCAGUGAAAUGCGUAGAGAUCGGGAGGAACAUCAGUUGCGAAGGCGGCUCUCUGGACCAGCACUGACACUGAGGCACGAAAGCGUGGGGAGCAAA
rnacentral:rRNA from 1 species